UACGUAGGGUCCGAGCGUUGUCCGGAAUUAUUGGGCGUAAAGGGCUCGUAGGCGGUUCGUCACGUCGGGAGUGAAAACUCGGGGCUUAACCCCGAGCCUGCUUCCGAUACGGGCAGACUAGAGGUAGGCAGGGGAGAGCGGAACUCCUGGUGUAGCGGUGGAAUGCGCAGAUAUCAGGAGGAACACCAGUGGCGAAGGCGGCACUCUGGGCCAGUACUGACACUGAGGAGCGAAAGCGUGGGGAGCGAACAGG
rnacentral:rRNA from 1 species